CGGUGCGAUCAUACCAGCACUAAUGCACCGGAUCCCAUCAGAACUCCGCAGUUAAGCGUGCUUGGGCGAGAGUAGUACUAGGAUGGGUGACCUCCUGGGAAGUCCUCGUGUUGCACCCC
rnacentral:rRNA from 1 species